AAUGGGUCAGCGACUUAUAUUCUGUAGCAAGGUUAACCGUAUAGGGGAGCCGUAGGGAAACCGAGUCUUAACUGGGCGAAUAAGUUGCAGGGUAUAGACCCGAAACCCGGUGAUCUAGCCAUGGGCAGGUUGAAGGUUGGGUAACACUAACUGGAGGACCGAACCGACUAAUGUUGAAAAAUUAGCGGAUGACUUGUGGCUGGGGGUGAAAGGCCAAUCAAACCGGGAGAUAGCUGGUUCUCCCCGAAAGCUAUUUAGGUAGCGCCUCGUGAACUCAUCUUCGGGGGUAGAGCACUGUUUCGACUAGGGGGUCAUCCCGACUUACCAACUCGAUGCAAACUACGAAUACCGAAGAAUGUUAUCACGGGAGACACACGGCGGGUGCUAACGUUCGUCGUGAAGAGGGAAACAACCCAGACCGCCAGCUAAGGUCCCAAAGUCAUAGUUAAGUGGGAAACGAAGUGGGAAGGCUCAGACAGCCAGGAUGUUGGCUUAGAAGCAGCCAUCAUUUAAAGAAAGCGUAAUAGCUCACUGGUCGAGUCGGCCUGCGCGGAAGAUGUAACGGGGCUAAACUAUGCACCGAAGCUGCGGCAGCGAUAUGUAAAUAUUGUUGGGUAGGGGAGCGUUCUGUAAGCCUGUGAAGGUGUACUGUGAGGUAUGCUGGAGGUAUCAGAAGUGCGAAUGCUGACAUAAGUAACGAUAAUGCGGGUGAAAAACCCGCACGCCGGAAGACCAAGGGUUCCUGUCCAACGUUAAUCGGGGCAGGGUGAGUCGACCCCUAAGGCGAGGCAGAAAUGCGUAGUCGAUGGGAAACGGGUUAAUAUUCCCGUACUGGUGAUAAUUGCGAUGGGGGGACGGAGAAGGCUAGGCUAUCCGGGCGACGGUUGUCCCGGUUUAAGGAUGUAGGCAGGUGAAUUAGGCAAAUCCGGUUCACUAUAUGCUGAGGUCCGAUGACGAGUCACUACGGUGAUGAAGUAGCUCAUGCCCCGCUUCCAGGAAAAGCCUCUAAGCUCUAGAUUAUCAUUAAUCGUACCCCAAACCGACACAGGUGGUCAGGUAGAGAAUACUCAGGCGCUUGAGAGAACUCGGGUGAAGGAACUAGGCAAAAUGGUGCCGUAACUUCGGGAGAAGGCACG
rnacentral:rRNA from 1 species